rnacentral:sRNA from 1 species
CAGAAGUCGAGCAUCCUCUUCCAGGCCGG